rnacentral:rRNA from 1 species
UACGAAGGGGGCUAGCGUUGCUCGGAAUGACUGGGCGUAAAGGGCGCGUAGGCGGUUUGUACAGUCAGGUGUGAAAUUCCCGGGCUCAACCUGGGGGCUGCACUUGAUACGUAGGAACUGGAGUGGGGAAGAGGGUCGUGGAAUUCCCAGUGUAGAGGUGAAAUUCGUAGAUAUUGGGAAGAACACCGGUGGCGAAGGCGGCGACCUGGUCCGAUACUGACGCUGAGGCGCGAAAGCGUGGGGAGCAAACAGG